AUGCUGAGGGUGGCAGUGAGCGUGGGCAGCCAGGGGCAACCCUCUCGACUCCCGAGCAGAGAGCCCUUGGUCCCUAGGGCUGGAUGCAAGUGUCAGGGAAGAUGCUUUGGCAGCAAUGCAGCAGGAUUCCCCACAUUUGGUGACAGGGUCCUGCAACACCGUAGCAUGGCGAUUCUGCCAGGAGGGCUGUGGCACACCUGGUUUUGGAAUAACAAGAACACUGGGAUGGAAGAUCAGGUGAUCUGGGUUCUUUCCCAACAUUUCAAAUAAUUAGAAUUUUUACCUUGGACAAGUUACUACUAUUCUUCAUUUGUAAAAUGAGGUGGUUGGAUUCUGCAAUUUUGUAAUUUUGUGAAUCAUGAAUGGACUGGAUAACCUAGAUGAUUUGAAAUACGGGAUUUGAGAAAGACCACUAUAUAAAGCUGAAGUUCACACUCUAUCUUCUCUUCCUGGCAGUGUGGAGAACUUCGUAACUUCCACUGCUGUGGCACUUCUGUUAUUGCGUUUCCUUUAGCUAUUCAUUGGUUUAGCUAAGUAGAAACAUUUCACAAUAACCUCUUUUUGGACAGGAUCAAAGUUCAGCUUAGGAAACUCUAAAGAUUGGCUAUUAGUUUGUUUUCUAUUUUUAACCACACUUCAUUUCAGAGAAUAAUGUUUUCCUCUGUUUGAGGGGGGCUAUAGAAACAGAAUGUAGCAAUGAAAACAUGCUUCUCAAAAGUCCCACUUUGCCCUAAUGAGCACUUACCCUGAAGGGCAUACGGAAGUUCAAAACGUGGACCCCUGAGAUGGAAUAUUUUCAUCUGUUGUUAAUUAUUGUGUAUGUGUUCGAUUUCCUGAGGUCAGAUGGUUUGUAUGAGGAUAUUGAAUUUUCGUGUCCAGUAAAUAUUUGUAUGCACCUCCCCCAAAUGUGUAUACAGAAUGAUUUCCAACUUCCUGUAAAUUAAGCUUAUUUUGAAUUUGAAAAUGCUUGAGGAGGAAGAAAAGCACGUGGGCAAAAUUAUGAGGUUCAGUCUGUGCUCACCUUCCUUAGGAUCGACUUGGGCAAAAAUGAGAGUAUGAAGUGCAGUGUCUGGAUAAGAAACUAGAGAGUCCUUUCUUGGGCAAAAUUUUCAUUAGUCUCAAUCUGUUCUCUAAUUGGAAUGUGAAAAUAUCUUUUGAGCAAAGUCCAGCCCAAUUUUAUGGGUUUGGCAGUCCAUUUUACCCUCAUGAAAAAUGAACAAAAUAUGCAAUUUCUGACAUCUAAAAUAUUUUACCUCUAGACCAUGUAUUU
rnacentral:lncRNA from 1 species